rnacentral:rRNA from 1 species
AGUGAACGCUGGCGGUAGGCCUAACACAUGCAAGUCGAACGGCAGCACAGUAAGAGCUUGCUCUUACGGGUGGCGAGUGGCGGACGGGUGAGGAAUACAUCGGAAUCUACUUUUUCGAGGGGGAUAACGAAGGGAAACUUACGCUAAUACCGCAUACGACCUACGGGUGAAAGCAGGGGAUCUUCGGACCUUGCGCGAUUGAAUGAGCCGAUGUCGGAUUAGCGAGGUGGCGGGGUAAAGGCCCACCAAGGCGACGAUCCGUAGCUGGUCUGAGAGGAUGAUCAGCCACACUGGCACUGAGACACGGUCCAGACUCCUACGGGAGGCAGCAGUGGGGAAUAUUGGACAAUGGGCGCAAGCCUGAUCCAGCCAUGCCGCGUGUGUGAAGAAGGCCUUCGGGUUGUAAAGCCCUUUUGUUGGGAAAGAAAACCAGCGGGUUAAUACCCCGCUGUUCUGACGGUACCCAAAGAAUAAGCACCGGCUAACUUCGUG